rnacentral:rRNA from 1 species
AGGGUUCGAUCAUGGCUCAGGACGAACGCUGGCGGUGCGCCUUAUGCAUGCAAGUCGAGCGAAGCUUUUCAGUAGUUUACUACAGAAAAUGACUGAGCGGCGAACGGGUGAGUAACGCGUGAGCAAUCUACCUUAGUUACUGGGAUAGCCCGAGGAAACUCGGAUUAAUACCGGAUAAUCUUAUUACAUCACAUGAUAUUUUAAGUAAAGGUCAGCCGAACUAAGAUGAGCUCGCGUUCUAUCAGCUUGUUGGUGGGGUAAAAGCCUACCAAGGCUACGACGGAUAGCUGGUCUGAGAGGACGAUCAGCCACACUGGGACUGAGACACGGCCCAGACUCCUACGGGAGGCUGCAGCAGGGAAUAUUGUGCAAUGAGCGAAAGCUUGACACAGCGACACCGCGUGUGGGAUGACGGUUCUAGGAUUGUAAACCACUUUCAGGAGGGAAGAAAAUGACGGUACCUCCACAAGAAGCCCCGGCCAACUACGUGCCAGCAGCCGCGGUAAU